UACGUAGGGGGCAAGCGUUGUCCGGAAUCAUUGGGCGUAAAGAGCGCGUAGGCGGCCCAGUCAGUCCGCUCUGAAAGUCAGGGGCUUAACCCCUGAAUGCGGGUGGAUACUGCUGGGCUAGAGUCCGGAAGAGGCGAGUGGAAUUCCUGGUGUAGCGGUGAAAUGCGUAGAGAUCAGGAAGAACACCCGUGGCGCAAGCGGCCACCUGGCAGAGUUCUGACGCUGAGGCACGAAAGCGUGGGGAGCGAACCGG
rnacentral:rRNA from 1 species